UCAAAUUAUAGCUUAAAUAAGUAUUUCAUUUACAUUGGAAAGAAAUUAAAUUUUAAUUUAAUUAAUUUGA
rnacentral:tRNA from 1 species